UAAGAAAAAUAAAUACAGUCGGAAAGGUGCCUCGAGCUGAAGGGCACCCUUUAGGGGUGGUGUGGUUUUCCUGGUAGUUGCCAUGUGACAGAAAGGAUUAAAAAAAAGUUCACAAGUUAAUUUGAUCAAUCAACUGAGCUUUUUACUCCUUGCCAUCAAACAGCAACUAUUUCAAAGCCGACAUUAAUUAAAAAGUCAACUGAUUGUUGGGUUAUCAGUAGCAGCCAACUACAGUGUAAGAGAAGAAGAGGAAGAAAGAAGAUGGACACUCGGCUCGGACAGUCACUUUUUACAGAAGUAAAAGUUAUUAAAUUGAGACAGCUUAUUCAAGACUGGCAGGCCCAAGCACAUGUAUCCAGGAUCACCACUGUGCCACUAUGUUUUUAGAGAUUAUUGGUUUAAAGCCGGCUUCUUUUCCGAAGAUGAAGAGCAGGAAUACGAAACCUGUGUGUAUCCAUGCAGCCAAACCAAAAAUAAGAAAAAGCAAAAGCUCACGUAGUAGCUCAGGUGACUUCAGCUUGUGUGAUGAUGUCACAGUGCAAAAACUGUAGCACCUGUAGUAGCACAAAACCCUUCAAGAUAAUGUAUUCCAUUUUAAACACACAAAAAGCCCAAGCACAAACUAUAUUAUACACCAGUGAUGAAAUAAUCCACAAGAAACUUCAACUCUGAUAAAUAAAAAACUUGUAUUGAAGAAACAAA